rnacentral:rRNA from 1 species
CAGCUUGUUGGCGGGGUAACGGCCCACCAAGGCGUCGACGGGUAGCUGGUCUGAGAGGAUGAUCAGCCACACUGGGACUGAGACACGGCCCAGACUCCUACGGGAGGCAGCAGUGGGGAAUCUUGCGCAAUGGGCGAAAGCCUGACGCAGCAACGCCGCGUGGGGGAUGAAGGCCCUCGGGUUGUAAACCCCUUUCAGCAGGAACGAAAAUGACGGUACCUGCAGAAGAAGGCCCGGCCAACUACGUGCCAGCAGCCGCGGUAACACGUAGGGGCCAAGCGUUGUCCGGAUUUAUUGGGCGUAAAGAGCUCGUAGGCGGUUGGGUAAGUCGGGUGUGAAAACUCCAGGCUCAACUUGGAGACGCCACCCGAUACUGCUCUGACUUGAGUUCGGUAGGGGAGUGGGGAAUUCCUGGGGGUACGGGUGAAUG